rnacentral:rRNA from 1 species
UGGGGAAUAUUGCACAAUGGGCGCAAGCCUGAUGCAGCAACGCCGCGUGAGGGACGACGGCCUUCGGGUUGUAAACCUCUUUUAGUAGGGAAGAAGCGAAAGUGACGGUACCCGCAGAAAAACGCACCGGCUAACUACGUGCCAGCAGCCGCGGUAAUACGUAGGGUGCGAGCGUUGUCCGGAAUUAUUGGGCGUAAAGAGCUCGUAGGCGGUCUGUCGCGUCUGCUGUGAAAACCCGAGGCUCAACCUCGGGCCUGCAGUGGGUACGGGCAGACUAGAGUGCGGUAGGGGAGAAUGGAAUUCCUGGUGUAGCGGUGGAAUGCGCAGAUAUCAGGAGGAACACCGAUGGCGAAGGCAGUUCUCUGGGCCGUAACUGACGCUGAGGAGCGAAAGCGUGGGGAGCGAACAGGAUUAGAUACCCUGGUAGUCCACGCCGUAAACGUUGGGCGCUAGAUGUGGGGCACCAUUCCACGGUUUCCGUGCCGCAGCUAACGCAUU